AGCGAACGCUGGCGGCAGGCCUAACACAUGCAAGUCGAACGAAGUCUUCGGACUUAGUGGCGGACGGGUGAGUAACACGUGGGAACGUGCCUUUAGGUUCGGAAUAACUCAGGGAAACUUGUGCUAAUACCGAAUGUGCCCUUCGGGGGAAAGAUUUAUCGCCUUUAGAGCGGCCCGCGUCUGAUUAGCUAGUUGGUGAGGUAAAGGCUCACCAAGGCGAAGAUCAGUAGCUGGUCUGAGAGGAUGAUCAGCCACAUUGGGACGGAGACACGGCCCAAACUCGUCCGGGAGGCAGCAGUGGGGAAUCUUGCGAAAUGGGCGAAGGCCUGACGCAGCCAUGCCGCGUGAAUGAUGAAGGGCUUAGGAUUGUAAAAUUCUUUCACCGGGGACGAUAAUGACGGUACCCGGAGAAGAAGCCCCGGCUAACUUCGUGCCAGCCGCCGCCGUAACAC
rnacentral:rRNA from 1 species